GACGAACGCUGGCGGCGUGCUUAACACAUGCAAGUCGAACGAUGAAGCCCAGCUUGCUGGGUGGAAGAGUGGCGAACGGGUGAGUAACACGUGAGUAACCUGCCCUGAACUCUGGGAUAAGCACUGGAAACGGUGUCUAAUACUGGAUACGACCUAUCACCGCAUGGUGUGUGGGUGGAAAGAUUUAUCGGUUCUGGAUGGACUCGCGGCCUAUCAGCUAGAUGGUGAGGUAAUGGCUCACCAUGGCGACGACGGGUAGCCGGCCUGAGAGGGUGACCGGCCACACUGGGACUGAGACACGGCCCAGACUCCUACGGGAGGCAGCAGUGGGGAAUAUUGCACAAUGGGCGCAAGCCUGAUGCAGCAACGCCGCGUGAGGGAUGACGGCCUUCGGGUUGUAAACCUCUUUUAGUAGGGAAGAAGCGAAAGUGACGGUACCUGCAGAAAAAGCACCGGCUAACUACGU
rnacentral:rRNA from 1 species